rnacentral:lncRNA from 1 species
CAAAAAUCAUUGCAGAAAUGUGGAAAGAUUUAAGCUACUGAUGUCAUGCAGUAUCAUGACUAUAUGGUGAAAAAUAAAAAUAUGGAUGUUAUUAUAGAAGAGCCUAGUAGGAAGAUGUAGUAGAAAACAAAGAUAAAUGAUAGGAAGGUAAUAAAAAGUAUAGUCUGAAUGUUGCCUUUUAGGGAAGAGACUUCUAUUUGCUUUGUAGAAGCAUAAAU